rnacentral:rRNA from 1 species
UAGGGAAUCUUCGGCAAUGGGGGGAACCCUGACCGAGCAACGCCGCGUGAACGAAGAAGGCUUUCGAGUCGUAAAGUUCUUUUAUAUGGGAAGAUAAUGACGGUACCAUAAGAAAAAGCCCCGGCUAACUAGGUGCCAGCAGCCGCGGUAAUACGUAUGGACCGAGCGUUGUCCGGAAUCAUUGGGCGUAAAGGGUACGUAGGCGGCCCAGUAAGUUAGAAGUGAAAUAAUAUAGCUCAACUAUAUAAAGCUUUUAAAACUGCUAGGCUUGAGAGAUGGAAGGGAAAGUGGAAUUCCUAGUGUAGCGGUGAAAUGCGCAGAUAUUAGGAAGAAUACCGGUGGCGAAGGCGACUUUCUGGUCAUCAUCUGACGCUGAGGUACGAAAGCGUGGGUAGCAAACAGG